rnacentral:rRNA from 1 species
GGGGGUAAAAUUAAUAAGAAAAAACUAAUAAAAAAAAAUUUAUUAUUAAAAAUAUCUAAUGGGGGUUAAAGUAUUUUUAAUAGAAAAAAUUUAUAGAUUUAUAGUUAAAUAGUAUUGUAAAAGAAAUUUUAAAUAAUUGAAAUAUAAAAUUUGAAUAAAAGUAAAUUUAAUUUAUUGUAUCUUGUGUAUCAGAGUUUAUUAAAUAAAAAUUUUUACAUAAAAAAUUCUCGAAUUUAAAAGAGUUAAUUAAUUAAAAAAGUUAAUGUUGAAUAAUUAUUUUAAAUAAUUAAUUAGAAAUGAAAUGUUAAUCGUUUUUAAAUAUAUCUAGUUUUUUCAGAAAAAAAUUUAAUUUUAAAUUAGAAUAAUUUUAUAAUUAAUUAAUUAAUUAUAAAAAUUUAAAAUUUAAUAUUUUAGGGGAUAAGCUUUAAAUUAAAAAAUUAUAAUAAUUAAUUUAUAAUUAAAAUUUUUAAUAUUUAUAUUGUUUAAAAAUUAUAAUUUGUUAUAAAAAAUUUUAAUUAAAUUAAAAUUUAAAAAUAAAAUUUAAUUUUUUAUGAGAAAAUUAUUUUUAAUAGUUAAAAAUUAGAAAUAAUGAUAAAAUUAGUAUAAGAUAAAAAAAAAAAAUAAAUUUAAUUAAAAUUAAAUUAAAGGAAUUCGGCAAAAAUUUAUAUUCACUUGUUUAUCAAAAACAUGUCUUUUUGGGGUAAUUUAAAGUCUAAUCUGCCCACUGAUAUAAAUUAAAGGGCUGCAGUAUAUUGACUGUACAAAGGUAGCAUAAUCAUUAGUCUUUUAAUUGAAGACUUGUAUGAAAGAUUUGAUGAAAUAUAAACUGUCUCUAUUUUAUUAAUAAAAAUUAAUAUUUUAGUUAAAAAGCUAAAAUGAAAUUAAAAGACGAGAAGACCCUAUAGAGUUUAAUAUUUAUUUUUAUUACAUUAAAAUAUAUAAUUAAUUAAUGAAUUAAAAAAAAAUAUUUUGUUGGGGUGAUGAAAAAAUUUAAUAAACUUUUUUUUUUAUAAAACAUAGAUAAAUGAUUAAAUGAUCCAUAAUUUUAUGAUUAUAAGAAAAAAUUACCUUAGGGAUAACAGCGUAAUAUUUUUUUUUAGUACAAAUAAAAAAGAAAGUUUGCGACCCCGAUGUUGGAUUAAGAUAAAAAUUAAAUGCAAAAGUUUAAAUUUUUGAUCUGUUCGAUCAUUAAAAUCUUACAUGAUCUGAGUUCAAACCGGUGUAAGCCAGGUUGGUUUCUAUCUUUAAUAAAAUAUAAUAUUUUA